GGGGCGCAGUGGGCGAGGGUAAUGGAAGGGGCGCAGUGGGCGAGGGUAAUGGAAGGGGCGCAGUGGGCGAAGGUAAUGGAGGGGGGCGCAGUGGGCGAAGGUAAUGGAGGGGGCGGCCCACCAGAAAAUGAGUAACUACAUAAAACCAAGAAAUUACGUCUAUUACUCCAGUCACCUCCAGAGCUGCUCACAUUAGAAACAAACUGACCCAGAAUAAUAGACAGAGAAAACUUACACUAGACAAGGUAAAUUUAUACUACACAAGGUAAAUUUAUACUACACAUGGUAAACUUACACUGGACAAAGUAAACUUAUACUAGACAAGGUAAACUCACACUGGACAAGGUAAACUUAUACAAGACAAGGUAAACUCACACUAGACAAGAUAAACUUAUACUAGACAAGGUAAACUCACACUAGACAAGGUAAACUUAUACUAGACAAGGUAAACUCACAGUGGACAAGGUAAACUUAUACUAGACAAGGUAAACUCACAGUGGACAAGGUAAACUUAUACUAGACAAGGUAAACUUAUACUAGACAAGGUAAACUCACACUAGACAUAAAUGGCCACGAGUUACGUCAGACAGUUGCGAGCUGUAUCGGCUGUAGAAGAUCUGCCCCUCCGGGGUUUAUCUUUACCUCAUUGUAAUUACUGCAGGAUUGUGAUUGCAGCUCUGGGUGUGAUUGGAGUACAUGACAUGAUACAUUGUAGAAAAAUGUCUCUAAAAUAAUUGUAUCAAACACCAAAAUGACGACUAAUUACGGCAGCCGACUAUAUGGGUCAGCGAUCGCACUGCGCCCUCUACUGGAGAGAUGUGAGGGGCCUCCGCACUGUUAUCCUGAACCAACAUGUUUUGUAAUUCUGUUUUCAUGAAUAAAAUCUGAAUUUUAGCACAAA